CUUCAGUGGUUUGUAUGAUAGGAAACAGAUGUUUUCGAGAUUUAAAAAUAGUCUUAAAAAAUGGGAGUGCUUUGCUUUCAAAAAAUAUGAAUUAAUAUGAGUAAAGUAUCUGUGCGCCUGCAUGGAUUAGGAAGCAAAUUUAUUGCAAUCAGUCAGAUAUACGUAGAAGUAGGCAGAACUCCAGAAUUUUACCAUUCGGUCGUAGGUAUAGUCCUGCACCACUAACUGUGGAGUUUCGCCUCAUUUUAAAGAACAGGACUUUCAUCUCAUAGUGUCUUUGAGUGCUUCAUUUGCCACGUAGACACCAUGUGCUUAAAAAACAUCAAAACUUGCUCCGAGAUUCGAAUCCGUGAUCAUCUGUCAGUCAGUCAGCGUCAUUAACUACUAUAUCGGCUGGGUGGCAUACAAAUAUACAUGACAUGAAGAAAACGUAUCCCCGAAAAUCACAUGAUUUCGGAUUACAUGAUCAUAAAAAGGACCACACGGCAUCGCCCUGCAAUCCACCAGCAGCACACGGAGUUCUCCGUCCAUGCGCCCAAGUCUAAACAUGAUGCCAACAUUUAUUUCCAAUCUUUUGGGAUUUCUUAAUAUUUUGCUUUAUAAUUUUGCACGGUGUGUAUAGACUUGUAGCGUUUCUUCUGGUAUUUUGCUUUUUUAUUAUUAUUAUUGUUAUUAUUAUUCUAUCAUGACUCUUGUGGGUUCCACAAUAACUUUGCAUGACCUCAUGAUAUUUCCUUCGUUAGUUGCAUAGUUUCACUUUUUAUCUGACAGUCUCUUUGCAGUUAACUUCGUAAUAUUCUAUUCACAUCAUUUAUUGUCUCUUCCUGUUUGUACUAUAUUAUAACCAUUUGCUUUCAUUCUUUCAGUGGGGAUCCGACCAAGAUCUCUAUCAAUAUUUUGCAGAUACUUCAGUAUUUUGCGUAUGUUUUCUCGCUGUUGUUUCGUUUUAAUUAAAAAUCUUUUAAAAGGUUCCUCCUUUUAAAAGGAAUCUCAUUUGGUUUUCUUCUGUAAGGCUGAAAUUAAAUAUGUAAUGGCAAAUGACGUCCCUUUCCCCACAUGCGCAAGUAUCUAUGUUUGAGAUGCCCCUUUCGAAAAAGUGUGUUAAAAAUGAUCCGUGGCCUGUCGUAUAAAAAUUAAGAAAUAGGUUUCUACUUACUUCUUCCUUGUUGACUUUUGAGAUUAAGUCAUGUAAUCUUCUCCCUUUAUUGGCACUCCCCGAUGAAAAUAUACAGGUACAGGUUAAAUAUGGGGGACACCAGCGAUGUACCAUGGGUCAACUGGUAAUGCCUUCCCAUAUUAUUAUGAAAAUAUACAGGGUUUCACAAAUAAAAAUAUAUCUUGAUCAAAUUUCAAUGCAACACUUCUUUUAUUAGCGUGUAUGUAACAUAUUGCAUAGUGGUGCAUGUCAUACUACUCUAAACAAGCCCACUGUGCCAAAACAAAUUAAAUUAGCGUGUUUUUCUCGAUUUGUAUAUGCUUUUAUUUAAGAAAUCUUGUAUUUUUCUACACAAAGAACAUUUAAAAAAAUAUCGGUAACAUAAACUGAAAGUGAAUACCUUUGUUCACUAAAGAUUUAAAAUGAAAUAAUUAAUUCUUUUUACUGCAUGUUAUGUUUCUGUUAAAUUACUCAUACAAUAUAAAUUCUGAAAGAAACCUCCAUCUUUGUUAACCGAUAGCUUCAAAACUAAGAAACGAGUUUAUCAAUUAUUUUUAGUAUCCAAAGUACGUGAUGCUAUUAAUAUGUGCAUAUAUUCAACGGAUGUGUGUGUAAUAUAUGUGUAUAUAUGUGUUCAACGGAGAAUAAGACUUAUAUUUCCCUCCAAGAAUAAUUCUUACUCUUGCUCGAAGCCUUGCUUGUUUACUAUUGUUAGGAACUUGGUACUAAUAUCCUUUUACUAUUUUUUAACCGUUUGAUGAUCCACCUUCUGAGAAGCCUACUAUCCUCGAAGUAUUACGUAAGAGUAUCCUUACCUUGUCUGAAAUAUUUUCCUAUGUUUCUGUAGCCAUUUUACUUGAGCUAAAUCAGGAGGAUAUUGUAUGUUGUAACAGUAUUCAUUUUGUUCGAAUAUUCAACGAGAAAUAAGCUUACUUUCGUUGCUUUACCUCGCAUGGAAAUGACAAAACUAUACUACCACUUAGAGAACAAAUUUGACAAAUAUACAGUUUUCAAAAUAAUAUAAUAUUCAAGAAUAAAAAUUUACUUUAUGUACUAUCGACGCAAUACCAUUAAAAAAUGUCAGAUUCUUUAUUGAACAAUUAUUUUAAAUUAUGUCCUCUUACAUUUACGUUUUUUAGUACACAGUUUGCUGUUUGAAAAUUCCUUAGUUUCCACUAACUGCAAUAUCAUCUGUAAGGUUCUUGUACAUUUCCUGUUCUCCAAAUAUUUUUUAUCAGUUGACAAUAUCAGGUGUCUGUAAGAUCAUAUCUAAUGCUGAUAGUUUCCUGUUAGUUAAGAUAAUAAUUCAUUAUGAAUAAUGUCUAACAGUGGAUGAUUAAAUAAAUUAACAACUUUUCUUUUUUUAGGGUUUCAUCGUUGCUGUUUUAUACUGCUUUCUCAAUGGAGAGGUUCAGAACUCGUUUCGCCAUCGGUUUGAGCGAUGGAAGGUUCGAAGAGCUAUCAACAGAGGUCAGCACCAGACACUGAGUUGUCGUUCUUCUCCACAUGAUGGUGAAAAGUUGUAUCGUAAUCGAGGCGUUAGAGAUAGCUGCACAAGUUUUGCCACAUCCACUUCAUUCAUAAACUUUCAGUCGGGGCGUUCUCCAUCAGUUCCCGCUGUAAAUCGUUUUGAUAACUGUUCACCUGUACUGGAAACAACUCCAGUGAAAGACGAUAUUGUGUAACAUCAGCAGAAUUUUAUUACCAUUUCAUAUGUAGAUUUCUGUAAUCAUGUUGUAAUUCCCUGACUAAAAGUGUUUGAGUCAAGUAA